rnacentral:rRNA from 1 species
CGGAACACGUACGCAACCUCCCCAGAACAGGUGAAUAGCCUUGCGAAAGUAAGAUUAAUACACCGUACCAUAUAGUUGUGGCAUCACGAUUAUAUUAUAGGUAGCAAUACCGGUUCUGGAUGGGCGUGCGCCUGAUUAGGUAGUUGGCGGGGUAACGGCCCACCAAGCCUUCGAUCAGUAACUGGUGUGAGAGCACGACCAGUCACACGGGCACUGAGACACGGGCCCG